AUUCCUAUAGGAUCCUAUAGGAAUUCCUAUAGGAUCCUAUAGGAUCCUAUAGGAAUUCCUAUAGGAUCCUAUAGGAAUU